rnacentral:misc_RNA from 1 species
GAUGAAGAACGCAGCGAAAUGCGAUACGUAAUGUGAAUUGCAGAAUUCAGUGAAUCAUCGAGUCUUUGAACGCACAUUGCGCCCCCUGGUAUUCCGGGGGGCAUGCCUGUCCGAGCUUCAUUGCUGCCCUCAAGCCCGGCUUGUGUGUUGGGUCUCGUCCCCCUUCCCGGGGGGACGGGCCCGAAAGGCAGCGGCGGCACCGUGUCCGGUCCUCGAGCGUAUGGGGCUUUGUCACCCGCUCUGUAGGCCCGGCCGGCGCUUGCCGAUCAACCAAAACUUUUUUCCAGGUUGACCUCGGAUCAGGUAGGGAUACCCGCUGAACUUAAGCAUAUCAAUAAGCGGAGGA